UAGUCCACGCCCUAAACGAUGAGGACUGGCUGUUGGCGCUGUAAAGGCGUCGGUAGCGAAGCUAACGCGUUAAGUUCUCCGCCUGGGGAGUACGGCCGCAAGGCUGAAACUCAAAGGAAUUGACGGGGGCCCGCACAAGCGGUGGAGCAUGUGGUUUAAUUCGAUGCAACGCGAAGAACCUUACCAUCCCUUGACAUCCUCAGAAUGAUCUGUAAUCGAUCAGUGCCUUCGGGAACUGAGUGACAGGUGCUGCACGGCUGUCGUCAGCUCGUGUCGUGAGAUGUUGGGUUAAGUCCCGCAACGAGCGCAACCCCUAUCUAUAGUUGCCAGCACAUCAUGGUGGGAACUCUAUAGAGACUGCCGGUGAUAAGCCGGAGGAAGGUGGGGACGACGUCAAGUCAUCAUGGCCCUUACGGGAUGGGCUACACACGUGCUACAAUGGUGUAUACAGAGGGUUGCUAAGCCGCGAGGUGGAGCUAAUCCCAGAAAGUACA
rnacentral:rRNA from 1 species